CAAUGCACCCGGGGCUUGGGGCAGCCCACGUGUAAACUGCCAGUGGCUCCCCGGUAAGCUGCGUGCGGCGGCCCGGUCUCGCUUGCAGGCAUCAAGCGGGAGCAGCCGCUGCUGCUGGAAGCGGAGCCCGGCGCCUUCGGGACAUCCCAGCGGGUCACUGCGCAGAGCCGCUGAGAUUUGGCCCCUGCCUCCGCGGGCGGUCAGAAACCCGGCCGGCUGCGCCCUGCGUUAACCCGUUGUACUCCACUGAACUGUGGGAAUGGUCACCAGAUGCUCCAGCAACAAGGGAAGGCAGUUUCUCAUUAAAAAUGCCUGAAAAGCCACAACAGCACCUCCCCAAACCACAUGAUAAUGAGACAAGACCACUCUGGGAAUCAGCGCAAGGCUUCAUGUAUGUACUGUGGCAAGCUUGCAAAGUACACAUUAAGAAAACUGAUCUAACUUCUGCAAAAGGAAAAUUUACAUUUUUACUAACAGAUGGCAAGAUCAGACAUUUGAAUGAACAUUUAGCAGCAGUGAAGAACAUUGUUUUUAAAAAGGCAUCAGUCUGAUAGCCCUGGAGAGUGAAAUCCUUUCCUGAUCCUCAGAACAGAAGUCGGUGUUGUAUCGCAUCCCAGGAGUCUCUACGGUUUUCAUCAACAUACAUUCGGAAGAGGAUUCUCAAGCAACAAGCCAAGCUGCUGGUCUCUUGUUUUAAAAGAUUGGGUUUUGACUUACCCUUGAACCCUAG